rnacentral:rRNA from 1 species
GACGAACGCUGGCGGCGUGCCUAAUACAUGCAAGUAGAACGCAGUUGCGAACGGGUGAGUGACGCGUAGGUAAAUGCCUGGUAGCGGGGGGGAACUAUUGGAAACGAUAGCUAAUACCGCAUACUACCAGAUGGACCUGGGGUGUAUUAGCUAGUUGGUUGGGUAACGGCCCACCAAGGCAACGAUACAUAGCCGACCUGGGAGGGUGGUCGGCCACACUGGGACUGAGACACGGCCCAGAAUCCUACGGGAGGCAGCAGUAGGGAAUCGUCGGCAAUGGACGGAAGUCUGACCGAGCAACGCCGCGUGAGAGAAGAAGGUUUUCGGAUCGUAAAGCUCUGUUGUAAGAGAAGCGGUAUCUUACCAGAAAGGGACGGCUAACUACGUGCCAGCCGCCGCGGUAAUAC